GAGCAAGAGACAGGGGGGCUUCUCAGAGUUUUCCUACCAAGUGAUGAGCCUCAGCCUGACACCAGAAUUAAGAACAGAGAAAAACUGAAUCUUGCCACAACCCAUUAACCAUUUCAUCUCUGGUAACAUCUCAAGAGACUGAGUGAAAAUGUAUGAAAACACCAUUGAUCUUUUGGUAAGGAAAUUAUCCAUUGCCUUCCCAAGGUAAAGUCAAAGUGUUUACUUUGGGGUCAGUUGAGCAUUUCAUGAAAAUGUAAGCUAAAAUAAUAUUCUAGAAUGGGUAACAAUGUUUUUGGUGCACCUGGACUGUUACUUGAGCUUUUUAAAAAUUUUAUUUUUGUUUGCUGGCUAAAUGACAAAUUGUAUUUUAAAAAUUCAAGACAACCCGGUGUGGAGAGCUUUCAGGGGAAAAAAAAAAAAAAAAGAAGAAGAAGAACAGACAACCCUUCCCCAAAAUUUGUCCUGUAUGCAUUGAAAUAUAUUUUUUCAUACAGCUUUACCUCACUUACCUGAGUUUUGACUUUUUUACAAAAGACAGUGAAAAACAUUUCAAAAUGAAAACCCAGAAUAACUUCUGGAAACUGUACUAAGAAUAGUUUCAACAUAUCUGAUUUUUCCUUUGUUUGUAUCCCUCAGAACUACUUAUCAAAUUUCUCUUGAAUUCAUAAAUGCUGAAGCAGCAUUUUUUUGAAAGUAAUUUAUUCUUUUUGCCCGUCUCUGCAUGUUAUGUCAUCAGAUGUUGAUCAUAAAAAUACCAGAUGUGUAGCUAUCCCUUUAGAGUAGACUCCUAUAUACUUUCUGGGUUUUAUAAUAUAUAUAUUUUCUGUUGUUUGUAUGGUAUUAUUCACUUCUCUUCCUUCCACCUCAGUAAUGAUCUUGGAUUUCUGGUUUCAGUCAGACUUUCAUGAUGAUCUGCUAUUGUUAAUACUGUUACUUCUUUUUGUUCUUGCUAAGAUAGUGAAUCAGAGAAUCAGUGAUUUGCCCAUCUCUGACCGUGCUCUGCACUUCAGAGAAGAAGGAAGACUUGUUAACUCUCUCGUCCCCCUUCCAUCAGAUGAUAAACUGGGGAUAUGGUGAUGCCAAAAUCAUAUAUAUCUACAAAUUAUUUUGAGAUCUUUGGAAGCAAGACUGCAGAACACUAAGAAAUAUUACUAGAUUAUAUUUACUUUUCCAGAAUCUCUGAAAUGGG